rnacentral:rRNA from 1 species
GACAGAGGCCUCGAGCGUUAGGCGGAAUCACUGGGCUUAAAGCGUGUGUAGGCGGGCCCGUAAGUGUCUUGUGAAAUCCCACGGCUCAACCGUGGAACUGCUGGGCAUACUGCGGGUCUGGGCCAACUAGGGGCAGCCGGAACAAGCGGUGGAGCGGUGAAAUGCGUAGAUAUCGGAAGGAACAUCAGUGGCGAAAGCGACUUCCUGGACCAAUACUGACGCUCAUGUGCGAAAGCGUGGGGAGCAAACAGG